AGUCUGACGGAGCAACGCCGCGUGAGUGAUGAAGGUUUUCGGAUCGUAAAGCUCUGUUGUUAGGGAAGAACAAGUGCGAGAGUAACUGCUCGCACCUUGACGGUACCUAACCAGAAAGCCACGGCUAACUACGUGCCAGCAGCCGCGGUAAUACGUAGGUGGCAAGCGUUGUCCGGAAUUAUUGGGCGUAAAGGGCUCGCAGGCGGUUUCUUAAGUCUGAUGUGAAAGCCCCCGGCUCAACCGGGGAGGGUCAUUGGAAACUGGGAAACUUGAGUGCAGAAGAGGAGAGUGGAAUUCCACGUGUAGCGGUGAAAUGCGUAGAGAUGUGGAGGAACACCAGUGGCGAAGGCGACUCUCUGGUCUGUAACUGACGCUGAGGAGCGAAAGCGUGGGGAGCGAACAGGAUUAGAUACCCUGGUAGUCCACGCCGUAAACGAUGAGUGCUAAGUGUUAGGGGGUUUCCGCCCCUUAGUGCUGCAGCUAACGCAUUAAGCACUCCGCCUGG
rnacentral:rRNA from 1 species